AGACGAGUGCUCUUCCGAUCUGGAAGCAGCUGGAGUGGUAGCCAGGCAUCUCCAAGACUCCUGUCCCCGACCAGACGGGGGUCUUCACAAUCGGGUUCGCCAUCGGGGGAUCGGAGAUGGACGGGAUUGGAGCUGAGUCCGAGAGAGCAAGAGGAGACAGCGAGAGCCGGAGAAAGAGCUGCAGGAGCAGCAGC